CACCAUGGAUUGGUGGAACGGGUACAACGAGACCCUCGCAGAAUGGUGUCCCCACUCCGCCGAUACCCCCGCCACAUUGACAGUUCUCCCUAUAGCCCUGCCUACUUAUCUCCUCCCCCUGAGUCUGGCUGGCGAAGGUGAGUCGAGAGCAGGUAGAAUUUCUCCCCCUUAGUCUCUGACAUGUUCCAGAGUGGCUGAGGUGGGCUAGGUACUGGGCUAAGGUAUCAAAAGUACCUCCUCCUGUAAAGGCCAAGCUGGGAGGGUGGGGCAGCUGGGUAGGUGGUCAGAGUCCAGACUUGGCCAUGUUGACACGAGUGGCCAAGCCUCUUAAUUCAGCAAGCAGAACCAAUGGAAUUGUAGCCAAGCUGGGGUGUGUAUAAGUGGGGGGAGGGGAGAGUGGCAGGGUGGCAGGUGAAAAUGGCUCCUUUUUCAUAGUAGUGGAUGCCAGGUGUAAUGCUGUAACCCUGUCAGGUGUUUGAGCCCCUCCUUUUCCCAUCUCAGCUCCAAUAUUUGUGUCCAGGAAACUUGCUAGGCUUCAGUGUUUCCACUCAGCUUGUGUUGCCAGAGAGGAGUUUCUGUAUCCAGUUCUUAGAUUGAGCAGGGGUGGGAGGCUCAUGGAUCAAAGGCAUCAGAAGAGCCAGAAAGAGGCAGGAUCCUGGGUACUAAGGCCUUUGUGUAUCCACCCUGGCUGCUGUACAUUUUUCCUACCCCCUUGCCUUUCUCGUCCAUUGCCAGCGCCUUCUUCCUCCUGAUAACAUUUCUAUCCUAGGAUGAUGCCCUGGGGCAACCUCCCAGCUGAGAAGGGGCAGUUGUUUAGACUGCCAUCUGCACUUAACAGGUGACGGUCCUUGAUUUCUUUAGUCCACAUCUCUUCCUUGUACUUUCUGGGGCCCUAUUCUAUCUACUCUACCCCCCAGUUCUGGACCAGUUUGAAUACCCCACUGCUGGGCAGUGUUUGGUACCUGGAAGACUAUUACUGCUACUCAUUUCUGCUCCUCCAACAGGACAAGCUCUGACUCUGCUCUUCACACAAGUGUGAUGAACCCUAACCCCCAAGACACUUAUCCAGGCCCUACACCUCCCAGUGUCCUGCCCAGCCGGCGAGGAGGUUUUCUGGAUGGCGAGAUGGAUGCUAAAGUCCCUGCUAUUGAGGAGAACUUGGUAGAUGACAAGCAUUUGCUGAAACCUUGGGAUGCUAAGAAGCUGUCCUCAUCUUCCUCUC
rnacentral:lncRNA from 1 species